UUGCGGUUAAAAAGCUCGUAGUUGGAUUUCUGUUGAGGACGGCCGGACCGCACUAUGUGCGUGUAUCUGGUUCGGCCUUGGCAUCCUCUUGAGGAACGUUCCUGCGCUUGAUUGCGUGGGGCGGUAUUCAAGACUUUUACUUUGAGGAAAUUAGAGUGUUCACGGCAGGCAAGCGCCUUGAAUACAUUAGCAUGGAAUAAUAAUAUAGGAUCUUGGUUCUAUUUGUUGGUUUCUAGGGCUAAGGUAAUGAUUAAUAGGGAUAAUUGGGGGCAUUUGUAUUAACGCGUCAGAGGUGGAAUUCUUGGAUUGCGUUACGACAAACUACUGCGAAAGCAUUUGCCAAGGAUGUUUUCAUUGAUCAAGAACGAAAGUAUGGGGAUCGAAGAUGAUUAGAUACCGUCGUAGUCUAUACCAUAAACUAUGCCGACUAGGGAUUGGAGGUCGUUCUUUUUAUGACUCCUUCAGCACCUUAUGAGAAAUCAAAGUCUCUGGGUUCCGGGGGGAGUAUAGUCGCAAGGCUGAAACUUAAAGGAAUUGACGGAAGGGCACCACCAGGAGUGGAGCCUGCGGCUUAAUUUGACUCAACACGGGGAAACUCACCAGGUCCAGACAUAGUAAGGAUUGACAGAUUGAUAGCUCU
rnacentral:rRNA from 1 species